UCUAGAAAAUGCACACCUGAGAAAACGACCCAGUCCCGCGCCUCCCGCAGCUUGCUCUCCCCCGAUUCCUCCUGCGACAAGCUCGCCGCCCCGCCCUCGAUCUGCCCCCGCCCCCUGCGUCAAGAUUCGGCAGCCGCGCCACCACCGUCCCCUGGAUGAGGACGCCGUGCCGCCACCGGUCUUGGAUCCGGCCGCCGCGGCGCCUGCCUCUGCUCCUCACCUGUCCGCCUCCACGCCCGCACGAGGGGAUGCCAAGCCCUCGUGCUCCUCCAUCGGCAGCCACAGGGGGGCCUCCGGCACACCUUCGCUUCCUCUCUUCCUUUCCUUCCUUCUCCCUCACACCCUCUCUCUCUCUCUCUCUGCUCUCCCACAGGUACCCGCCAUGGCCAUCAUUGACAACAGCCAUGCGGCAGGAGCUCGCCACCGAAGUCCCCCGAGCACCGUCCGCCCCGAAUCUGGCUGGGAACCGGACGAGGCCGAGCCCUCGUGCCCAGAUCCGCUGCAUCAAUCUGGAAGUUCGCCGCCGCCACCUCGGGCGGUUUAACUGAUGUGCCCCGCUUCUGGCACCACCCGCCGGGACGACCACCACCCCUCCCUCAUCCUGCUGCAGCCUGCAGAUUUAUGCACAUAAAGUUCAAAAAUAUAACGAAGAGAAGGAGCAUGUAUGCGUGUGUGUGGUGGUGAGGUUGAGGUUCAGAAAAAGUGUGUGGUGAUGGUGAGGUUCAGAAGAACAUGUGUGUGGUGGAGAAAUUCACUAGCUUUUUUAAUCGGGAGACAAGUAAUAGCUUAUUUUGUGCAAACACAAGAUAGAAAAAUGUAUGUGUCUUUUAGUAAGAGUCACAUUGUUCAACGGCCUCUCUGUUCAUCAAGAAAAUUCGAGUUUCCUUAAGCCACAUUGUUGUGCUGUGAAAAUGUGUUGGUUC